UUUUUCUGCAGUUUACGGAUUUUUCUUCAUCGGAAACAACUUCAGAAUGAAGAUCCACACUGUUCUGCUCUUCUGCGUCUUAUCAGCGCUGCAGGAUGGAAACAUUCUCAUCAAUGCACAAAUCCCCACUUUUACACUAAGUGGUUCAACUUCAGAUUUCACAGUUAGAUGUCCAUUUACCAGGACUGGAAGAACAAAGUACUUCUGUAAGGAUGAAUGUAAAGAAAACAUUCUUGAAAUGGAUGGUGACAGUGCUGAAAGAGGCAGAUACAGUAUGAAAUAUAAAACCACAACUAGAGGAAGUGUUCUGUAUGUGACCAUCAAGAAGGCAACCGAAUCUCAUUCUGGACUAUACAGGUGUGGUUUGGACAACUCAACAGAUCCAUACCAGUUCAAGCUAAGAGUCGGAGAUGCUUCGUCCACCCAUGACAGAAACUCAGAACCAAAGUUGACACCGGACACAAUGGCUCCCCCACCAAAACCAACACAGAGUUUCAGAGGAAGCCCCACACCUUCACUUUCCAAUACAACUGAGAUGACAACUGGAGAUCCGUCCGUGUAUCACACCACGUCAAACCUAGACUUCACAUCAGACUCCCCGUCAACAACACAGAGUUUCAGAGGAAGCCCCACACCUUCAUCUUCCUCUAAAACCACCAACCGGCAGCAAAAUGACACAACAAUUGGAGGUAACAUCUUGUAUGUGAUCGUUUCUGUGACUGUGGUUGUUGUCCUGUUGGUUGUUUUUCUACCGCUCCUGUACAAGUGGAAGAAAAGAAAAAGCUCCAGUGAUUUGAGCAGCAGGGUCUACUUAACAAAUAUGGAGUCUGUCAUCUAUGAGAAUUCUGCUCCAGUCUCCACAUUGGAGGAGUCUGGCUACGAAAACGUCAAUCCAUCCUCCACCUAUGAGACCCUCAAUCCAACCACAAUGGCUCAUGACUUGUACUCCACACUCGGACAGCAAAUAUAAUACUUGUUUUUGUAUUUUUUGUAUUUGGAUAAAUCAUACCACAAAUAAAUAGUUGUGGUUUAUUUUGAGGACAUCUUCUUUCUUUAAUAUCUAAAACUUGCUGAAGACAAAAAUUAAAGGCAGAGAUAUCCACAAACAAGCAACAACUGAAUACAGCUGUAGUGACAGUUUACAGGAACAGGAGUAUGUUACAUUCAUGUAGAGGUCAGCUCUGAGAAUGAGAGAGUGAGAAAAUAGGAAACCAUCUAGAUAUGAAUACUUACAACUUCAUGUACUGUAGCUAUGCGGAACAUAAAGUGAGGAACUACACAAGUGUGCAUGUAGACGGACGAUACUGAAGUCAUAGUUACAGUCUUCCUACAGUUUAAGGAUUUUUCUUCAUUAGAAACAACUUCAGAAUGAAGAUCCACCCUGUUCUGCUCUUCAGCUUCUUAUCAGUGUUGCAGGAUGGAAACAUUGGUCUCAUCAAUGCAGAAAUCCCCAUUUUUAGAGCAACCGAAGGACAAAGUAUCACAGUUACAUGUUACUUUACAGAGACUGGAAGCAGGAAGUACUUCUGUAAGGACGAAUGUGAAGAAAGAACCAGUCUUAAAUUGUAUAAUGACUAUGAUCAAGUAGAACGCAUUCUUGAAAUGGACGAUGACAGUCAUCAAAGAGACAGAUACAGCAUGAGAUAUGAAACCACACGUAAAGGAAGUCUUCUGGAUGUGACCAUCACACAUCUGACCAAAUCUGACUCUGGCGUUGGAAGAUUUUACUCAGAACUUUCCGUAACUGAUUUUUUAUUUUUGCGGACACAUUUUUAAAAUUUCAGUUCAUUUGGCAGUUUGUGACUGUAAGUCUUUAUUACAGUGACAGUAAAGAGUAGACAGGAAACGGAGGGAGGGGGACGGGGAGGUAACAUGCAACAAAGGCCUGCUGCCGUUAUUGAACUG